rnacentral:tRNA from 1 species
GAGAGAUUCGCUCAAUGGUAGAGCCCGUUUUACACACGGAAGGUUAGGUGUUCAAGUCACCUAUCUCUUA